GAAGGUGGCCUGUGAGGGUUGCUGGAGGUAUCAGAAGUGCGAAUGCUGACAUAAGUAACGAUAAAGCGGGUGAAAAGCCCGCUCGCCGGAAGACCAAGGGUUCCUGUCCAACGUUAAUCGGGGCAGGGUGAGUCGACCCCUAAGGCGAGGCCGAAAGGCGUAGUCGAUGGGAAACGGGUUAAUAUUCCCGUACUUGGUGUUACUGCGAAGGGGGGACGGAGAAGGCUAUGUUGGCCGGGCGACGGUUGUCCCGGUUUAAGCGUGUAGGUGUGUGUUCCAGGUAAAUCCGGUUCACUUUAACACUGAGGCGUGACGACGAGGCACUACGGUGCUGAAGCAACAAAUGCCCUGCUUCCAGGAAAAGCCUCUAAGCAUCAGGUAACAUCAAAUCGUACCCCAAACCGACACAGGUGGUCAGGUAGAGAAUACCAAGGCGCUUGAGAGAACUCGGGUGAAGGAACUAGGCAAAAUGGUGCCGUAACUUCGGGAGAAGGCACGCUGACACGUAGGUGAAGUGAUUUACUCAUGGAGCUGAAGUCAGUCGAAGAUACCAGCUGGCUGCAACUGUUUAUUAAAAACACAGCACUGUGCAAACACGAAAGUGGACGUAUACGGUGUGACGCCUGCCCGGUGCCGGAAGGUUAAUUGAUGGGGUCAGCGCAAGCGAAGCUCCUGAUCGAAGCCCCGGUAAACGGCGGCCGUAACUAUAACGGUCCUAAGGUAGCGAAAUUCCUUGUCGGGUAAGUUCCGACCUGCACGAAUGGCGUAAUGAUGGCCAGGCUGUCUCCACCCGAGACUCAGUGAAAUUGAACUCGCUGUGAAGAUGCAGUGUACCCGCGGCAAGACGGAAAGACCCCGUGAACCUUUACUAUAGCUUGACACUGAACAUUGAGCCUUGAUGUGUAGGAUAGGUGGGAGGCUUUGAAGUGUGGACGCCAGUCUGCAUGGAGCCGACCUUGAAAUACCACCCUUUAAUGUUUGAUGUUCUAACGUGGACCCGUUACCCGGGUUGCGGACAGUGUCUGGUGGGUAGUUUGACUGGGGCGGUCUCCUCCUAAAGAGUAACGGAGGAGCACGAAGGUUGGCUAAUCCUGGUCGGACAUCAGGAGGUUAGUGCAAUGGCAUAAGCCAGCUUGACUGCGAGCGUGACGGCGCGAGCAGGUGCGAAAGCAGGUCAUAGUGAUCCGGUGGUUCUGAAUGGAAGGGCCAUCGCUCAACGGAUAAAAGGUACUCCGGGGAUAACAGGCUGAUACCGCCCAAGAGUUCAUAUCGACGGCGGUGUUUGGCACCUCGAUGUCGGCUCAUCACAUCCUGGGGCUGAAGUAGGUCCCAAGGGUAUGGCUGUUCGCCAUUUAAAGUGGUACGCGAGCUGGGUUUAGAACGUCGUGAGACAGUUCGGUCCCUAUCUGCCGUGGGCGCUGGAGAACUGAGGGGGGCUGCUCCUAGUACGAGAGGACCGGAGUGGACGCAUCACUGGUGUUCGGGUUGUCAUGCCAAUGGCACUGCCCGGUAGCUAAAUGCGGAAGAGAUAAGUGCUGAAAGCAUCUAAGCACGAAACUUGCCCCGA
rnacentral:rRNA from 5 species